AUUUUGUUCUUCUCUCUCGCUUUAAAUUUUCUGGGUUGCUCUAAAUUGGUCUAGUCUUAAGUUUGAGUUAAACGUUUUUGGGUUAGCAACCAUCCAUGCAUGUGUCUUGGGUUAGCUUAAUGUAUUGAUUUUGUUUCUCUCUUCUUCUUUUUUUUUUUUCCUUCGAGAGCUUUUAAUUUGGAGAUUGAUGUUAUUGUAGUGGCUUCUUCAUGGACACCCAAAUUUGGUAUGUGGUGAUGGCACUGGGGCCUUUGGUUGUUUGGGAGAGGUCAGUGCUGCAAGAAGAACUGAAGCAGCAAAUCUUUCCCAACUCUAGAAUGAAAUAACUUGCAGCUUUCGUCAGGAAGAUCUCAUUAGUGAGAGCAGAGCGAUUGAUUUUUCAUUCAUCCCAGAGGUCUCAUUCCA